UACGUAGGGGGCAAGCGUUGUCCGGAUUUAUUGGGCGUAAAGAGCGUGUAGGCGGCUUGGUAGGUCCGCUGUGAAAACUCGAGGCUCAACCUCGAGAUGUCGGCGGAAACCACUUGGCUAGAGUCCGGAAGAGGAGAGUGGAAUUCCUGGUGUAGCGGUGAAAUGCGCAGAUAUCAGGAAGAACACCCGUGGCGAAGGCGGCUCUCUGGGACGGUACUGACGCUGAGACGCGAAAGCGUGGGGAGCGAACAGG
rnacentral:rRNA from 1 species